AACUUUUAACAACGGAUCUCUUGGCUCUCGCAUCGAUGAAGAACGCAGCGAAAUGCGAUAAGUAAUGUGAAUUGCAGAAUUCAGUGAAUCAUCGAAUCUUUGAACGCACCUUGCGCUCCUUGGUAUUCCGAGGAGCAUGCCUGUUGAGGUGUCA
rnacentral:rRNA from 1 species